CGACUCUUGUGCCAGCCACCGUUGCUGCUAGCCGUGUUCCAAUUCCAAACUUCAGGCUGUUCGACUCCUCUUUGUUCAGUGAUGCAACCUCCUUGAACGGGUUAACUGAACCGAACCCAGUUCUCCACACCCUGAAGAAUGCUUUCCAUUCCGUAGUCAAAGCGAGAUGCUUGCUCUAGCAAACACUAGCAGUCAGCUCCCUGGUAAUUCUCUUACGUUUGUCAUUGUAACAGGUGACAGCACCGUUCUUGCUAAGGUUGAAACUGGGGGUAGCAGUCAGCAGGCGUGACCAGAUGCUGGAGCAGCCCCUAAUGGUGGAGAUCCACUGAAGCCUUCAGCCAGAGCAACUUCAAAGAUGGUGAAGCCCGUCUCGCUUAAUUCUUUAUCAUCUGAGAUACUUUUACUCCAUAAUGCUAU
rnacentral:lncRNA from 1 species